CCACCAACCAAGCACACCACACUACAUCACACCACACAGGCCCCCCAGUCUCACACACACACACACACACACACACACACACACACACACACAGAGCCCUAAUCACGUCUGAAAACGCCUUUCCACUGCCAGUGAAGCUGAAAAUAUCUUCAUAAACAAGUCUCUUCACAUGGAGCUGUAAGGUGCUGUGGCCUUCAGGCAGAGACAGAGGCUCCUUCACAUUCUUCCACUCUUCUGUGAGAUGCAGGGUCAAACGGAGUGCAGGAUGUCACUAAAGAGAAAAAAAGAGAAAGAUCAGAAAAAACAGCCACCCAGUGAGAGAGAGAGAAAGAGAGAGAGGUGGGGGAAGAGAGGAUGGAAGUCUAAAACUAGUCCAUCUAGUUCCUCUGUGUCAAUAUGGUUGUCGUUCCAUUACCUCAGUGUACCAGAACAUCUUAUCUCUCUCUCUGUACCAUGUCUUCUGUCUGUUCUCAUUUAUGUCUUUGGUCACUUUUUUUCCUCUCAUGCUUUCUACAUACAUUUCUGAUCUAACCUGAAAACACAAAAAAAGGCAUAUUUAGCCUCUGUAUUGACAUUUGUAUUGUACAAUGUAGCCUUGUAGAAAAGUCACAUAAGCUUCACAUGUUAACAAUCAUGUUCCACAUGUGCAGUUUCAGAGCAUAAAUCUUUUUCACAUGAUCAAUUAAAUAAUCGCAUGCG
ensembl:lncRNA